rnacentral:lncRNA from 1 species
UUUAGAUCUUCUGCCCAUUUUUUGAUGGGGUUGUUUGUUUUUUUGGUAUGGAGUUUCAGAAGGUGUUUAUAAAUAUUGGAGAUUAAUCUCUUGUCAGUCGAUUCACUUGCAAAGAUUUUCUCCCAUUCUGUGGGUUGUCUUUUCACGUUGUUUAGGGUUUCCUUUGCUGUGCAGAAACUUUGAAGUUGAUUAGGUCUCGUGUUUAUUUUUGUUUUUAUUGUCUAUACUCUGAUAGAUGGAUCUGAGAAGAUGUAGUUGUCGUUUAUGUCAGAGAGUGUUUGGCCUAUGUUUUCCUCUAAGAGGUUGAUAGUGUCUGGUCUUAUAUCUAGGUCUUUAAUCCAUUUGGAGUUAAUUUUUGUGUCUGGUGUUAGGGAGUGUUCUAAUUUCAUUCUUUUCCAUGUGGCUGUCCAAGGUUUCCCAGCAGCACUUAUUGAACAAGCUGUCCUUUCUCCAUUGUAUAUCCUUGCCUCCUUUGUCAUAGAUGAGUUGGCUGUAGGUGCAUGGGUUUAAUUCUGGGCUUUCUAUCCUGUUCCACUGAUCUAUAUUGUGCCAGUACCAUAUGGUUUUGAUGAUUAUUGCUUUGGAGUAUAGCCUGAAGUCUGGGAGCCAGGUUCUUCCAGCUCUAAAGACAUCCUGAAGAAGAAAAAAGGAUUUUCACUUUAAUAUUAGCCAUGGUUAUGCAUGUAGGGUUCUGUAGGUCAGUGCUUUCUAUGUUGUAAGCAAAAUUUCUUGUACAAAAUGCAAGGUAUAUAUGUGAGUUAAGUAAUUUGGAUGAAAAGUACUACUUCUAAAGAUAAAGAAAGUUUGUUUUAGACAUUAAGUAUUGAUAGAUAUACCCAAUGAAAAAUGUAAUUUUUUCAUUUAUAUCUUUGGUUUAUAAGUAUAAACGUGAAUAAAAAACCACAAAGGCCAUCAUUGUGGCCUAGGGGAUUAAUAGAGUAUCUUAGGGAUAAUUUUGUUUGUUAUGAACUUUCCUAAUACAGAUUAAUCCCUUCUAUUUGAUAAUUACCUUUUCAUUUAGUAAAAUUCAUUGUAUUUAAUAAUUGUUUUGAUAAAAUAAGGGGAUAACAUCAAUUCUAAGCCACAUAAAUAUAACAUUUUAUAAACAAGAUUUUUAAAAAAUGAAUACAUUUUUUCCUCUCUAUUAGGGAAUGCAAGUGAAUCCUUAAUUUAGAAACUUGUAGCCCCAUCCAGGUAUAGGCUAAAUUGACUUAUGAGUGUCAGCCAAACAUGUGUUCCAGGAAUGACUUUCCAUCAGGGUUUUUAUUUAGGAAAAGAAAUAUUUAUAUGUUUUCAACAUGAAUAUAAAUCAUACAACCUAAUUUGUAGAAUUUUCCUAUGACUUGGAGGCAGGUGUUUGGCAGAAGAGUCUAAAUGUUCGUUUUUUAAAAAAGCAACUACUUACUGAGUACUUUCUCUUUGCCUGUCACUGAGAUAAGAGCUUUACAUAUUUUAAGACAUAUGAGUUAUUGUUACUUGCAUGUAAUAGAUAAGGCAACUCAAAUUUAGUAAGUUUUACUAACUUGUUCCGGUUCAAACUAGGCCUGUUUGACUUCAAAGUUCGUGCUUUUAACUGUAACAUAAUACUGCCUCUCUAAUGACUUGUAUAUUUUAAACCGUUAUAAAUCAAGGAAUAUUUGGAAAGAGCUGAGGGGUUUCCUACUCAAAGGAAUCUUAUGGCAAGUCUUUUCAUAAAUCAUCUAAAAAUGUAAGAACAAUCCUUCAAAUUCAAUCUUUUAAAAUGGCAACACUUUUAUUUAUUUAUUUUUUGUAAUUAGUGAGUGAUUUAGGCAGGAAGGCAAACAUGGACAUAAUUUUUUUUUUUUUUGUAAUUAGUGAGUGACUUAGGCAGGAAGACAAUAUAAAUUGGCAGGAUCCUAAAAACCAACAUAUCUUUUUCUCAAGAACUAGAAACUUCAGUGACUCCCUAUGAAAAAUUAUCAGUGGAAAAUUUCACAAUCAACUAGAGUAACAGUGAGCCCUUUGUCUCUUCUUAGUCUAGCGGCUCGUGUCUUAGAGCUCUUGAAAAGAUAACAUCUGAGCCACUAUAUUGUCUUGUCUCCUUCAUUGGAUUAGCAAUAGAAUUCAAGGCCCCAUUCAUUCUCUUAUUCUAAGCCAUCUUUAAGUCUUCAUCUGUCAGGGUCUGUAGCAGUUGACAAGCAUCUGCCCAUUAAUUCACUCAUUCUCUAAGUUCUUAUUGACAGCCUACUUUUGGCCAGAUACUCUGAAUAGGCAUUGUAAAUACAAAGUUGAACAAAACAGCUAAGAUCUUUUUGAUGGGCCUUAAAAUCUUGUGAGGAAGAUAUUUCUUUCUUUUUUUUUUGUUGUGUUGUUUUAAGGCUGCAUCCAAGGCAUAUGGAAGUUCCCAGGUUAGGAGUGGAAUUGGAGCUGUAGCUGCCAGCCUAUGCCACAGCCACUGCAACAUGAGAUCUGAGCCGCAUCUGCGACCUAUACCACAGCUCAUACAAUGCUGGAUCCUUAACCCCCUGAGCAAGGCCAGGGAUCAAACCCGAGUCCUCAUGGAUAUUAGUCGGAUUUUUUUUACCACUGCGCCACAAGGAGAACUCCCAUUUCUUAAAAAAAUAAAGUUGUAGAAAUCAAGAGAAAGUUCAGUCUGAAUCAGGAAGAAUUUGGGGAAUAAUAGCUUUCAAGUAAUGCCUUCAUGCUCUUAAGUUAUUGGACUGGAGAUCUAUUUUUUAUUUUUUAUUUUAUUACUCAAUGAAUUUAUUACAUUUAUAGUUGUACAAUGAUCAUCACAAUCCAAUUUUAUAGGUUUUCCAUCCCACAACCCAAGCACAUCCCACCACCCCCCAAACUGUCUCCUUUGGAAAGUGUAAGUUUUUCAAAGUCUGUGAGUCAGCAUCUGUUCUGCAAAGAAGUUCAUUCUGUCCUUUUUUCAGAUUCCACAUGUCAGUGAAAGCAUUUGAUGUUGGUGUCUCAUUGUCUGACUGACUUCACUUAGCAUGAUAGUUUCUAGGUCCAUCCAUGUUGCUAAAAAUGCUGGUAUUUCAUUCCUUUUAAUGGCUGAGUAAUAGUCCAUUGUGUAUAUGUACCACAUCUUCUUGAUCCACUCCUCUGUCGAUGGACAUUUAGGUUGUUUCCAUGUCUUGGCUAUUGCAAAUAGUGCUGCAGUGAACAUCGGAGUGCAUGUGUCUUUGCGAGUCAUGGUUUUCUCUGGAUAGAUGCCCAGGAGUGGGAUUGCUGGAUCAAAUGGUAGUUCUAUUUUUAGUGGAAUGGAGAUCUAUUUAAGCUGCAUUGAUUGCAAGUUCAUAGUUAGUAUUCAUGUACAUGGUUUUGAAAUUGCUUGAGAAAAAACUUUCAAGUUAUUCAAACAUUCCUUCUAAUAUUUUGUUUAUUUUUUCUUUAGUUAACCAAUUCAUUCUUUCACUCAAGCAUUGAUAGAACUUGUAUUGAGGGUCAGUUGUACAGGACAGUACAGCACAGCCCUGGCUCUUAGGAAGCUCAGAACCCAGGGAGGGGAUCUUCAUAUGAGUGAGUAGUGAUGUUGCUAUGUGAUUAAUGUUCUACUAGAAGUGUGACUACUGUGUUGUGAGAGUAUGGAGUUGGAGCAGCAAACCCUGGGGGUUAGGAAAUUUUUUUCAAGAGAGAAGAUUAUAGCAAUGAACAGAACUUUGCCUUAAGCAAAAGAGGGAUGCAUUCUAGUAAGAAAGAACAACAUGUGUAAGGGAAUGGAUUCAAGAGACAGAAAUAAAUCAGCUUGGGGGAGCAUAGGAGUGUGGGUGGGAAAUGAGCUUGAGGGGACACACUAGAACCUGACCAGGGAGCAUCUGGGUCCUGCAGAAAAGGUUGAAUUUUCUCCUUGUUGAUGAGAAACCUCUCAAUUUUAUUAAUCACUUAUUUAGCAAAUUUUUCUUUCCAGUGAGAGAUGCAGAAGAAUGGGGGAAAAUAUGUAGCUUAGAAACCAGUUAUGAGGCUAUUAAAACACUUCAAGCGAAAAAUGAUAAGAAACCAAAAUCAGGGUGUAGUGGGAAGAUGGAGAAGGAAAGUAGACUUGAGAGGCAUUUGAAGAGUUAACUUAGUUGAUUAUUGCUGUUGUUGAAUAGGCUGAUAUCCCUGGAAAGGAAAGGAAAGGUGGUCAAGACGGCCAUGGUAUUUCUGUGCUGAGAGCUGCUGGAGUGUGACCGGCAGGUGGCAGAAUGUAAGCAAGUUGUUUCAGUAGAGCUGGUGUCUUAGCUACUCGGUGAUAGAAAUACCAGAAAUUCAUUUCUUACAGUUCUGGAGGCUGAAGUCUGAGGUCAGGGUGCCAGCAUUUCAGGUGAGGGUCUACUUCCAGGUGGCGGACUUCUCUCUGUGUCCUUGCCUGGCAGAAGGGGCGAGGGGGCUCUCCGAGGUCUCUUAUAAGGGAACUAAUCCCAUUCACGAGGAUUCCACCCUCAUGACCCAAGCGCUCCUAGAGGCCACGGCGCCUAAUACCAUCACAUUGGGCGUUAGAACUUUAAUUGGGAGUCACACAAAUAUUCAGACCAUAGCAGCAUGACUAAUGCUAAAAUGCAAAUCACCAUUAUCAGACACAACCUAGAAUAGAUUUACAAGGAGAUCCUGCUGAAUAGCAUUGAGAACUAUGUCUAGAUACUCAUGUCGCAACAGAAGAAAGGGUGGGGGAAAAACUGUAACUGCAAUGUAUACAUCUAAGGAUAA